AGAGUUUGAUCCUGGCUCAGAACGAACGCUGGCGGCAGGCUUAACACAUGCAAGUUGAACGGGAUUUGUAUGGUGCUUGCACCAUGUAAUGAGAGUAGCGCACUGGUGAGUAACACGUGGGAACAUACCUUGAAGUGGGGGACAACAGUUGGAAACGACUGCUAAUACCGCAUAAUCCCUGAGGGGGAAAGAUUUAUCGCUUUAAGAUUGGCCCGCGGAAGAUUAGGUAGUUGGUGGGGUAAAGGCCUACCAAGCCGACGAUCUAUAGCUGGUCUGAGAGGACGAACAGCCACAUUGGAACUGAGACACGGUCCAGACUCCUACGGGAGGCAGCAGUGAGGAAUAUUGGGCAAUGGAGGAAACUCUGACCCAGCCAUGCCGCGUGAGUGAAGAAGGUUUUCGAAUUGUAAAGCUCUUUCGGAUGGGACGAUGAUGACGGUACCAUCUAAAGAAGCCCCGGCAAACUUCGUGCCAGCAGCCGCGGUAAUACGAAGGGGGCAAGCGUUGUUCGGAAUUACUGGGCGUAAAGGGUGUGUAGGCGGAUUUGUAAGAUAGUGGUGAAAUACCUGAGCUCAACUUAGGAAUUGCCAUUAUAACUAUAGAUCUGGAGUGACAGAGAGGAUAUUGGAAUACCCAGUGUAGAGGUGAAAUUCGUAGAUAUUGGGUAGAACACCAGUGGCGAAGGCGAGUAUCUGGCUGUCAACUGACGCUGAGGCACGAAAGCAUGGGGAUCAAACAGGAUUAGAUACCCUGGUAGUCCAUGCUGUAAACGAUGAAUGCUAGUUGUCGGCAAAAGCCGGUGACGCAGUUAACGCGAUAAGCAUUCCGCCUGGGGAGUACGGUCGCAAGAUUAAAACUCAAAGGAAUUGACGGGGACCCGCACAAGCGGUGGAGCAUGUGGUUUAAUUCGAUGCAACGCGAAGAACCUUACCAACUCUUGACAUCCUCAUCGGGGCUUUCAGAGAUGAGAGCUUUCAGUUAGGCUGGAUGAGUGACAGAUGCUGCAUGGCUGUCGUCAGCUCGUGUCGUGAGAUGUUGGGUUAAGUCCCGCAACG
rnacentral:rRNA from 1 species